UACGGGGGGGGCAAGCGUUGUUCGGAAUUACUGGGCGUAAAGGGCUCGUAGGCGGCCAACUAAGUCAGACGUGAAAUCCCUCGGCUUAACCGGGGAACUGCAUCUGAUACUGGAUGGCUUGAGAUUGGGAGAGGGAUGCGGAAUUCCAGGUGUAGCGGUGAAAUGCGUAGAUAUCGUUUGGAACGCCAACGGUGAAAACAGACAGCUGGGAGUGUGCUGACGCUGAGACACGAAAGCCAGGGGAGCGAACGGG
rnacentral:rRNA from 1 species